rnacentral:rRNA from 1 species
AGAGUUUGAUCCUGGCUCAGAACGAACGCUGGCGGCGGGAUAAGACAUGCAAGUCGGACGGGAUUACUUUUGGUAGCAAUACUAAGAGUGAUUCAGUGGCGAACGGGUGCGUAACACGUGGGCAAUCUGCCUUAAAGUGGGGGAUAGCUCGCCGAAAGCGAAUUAAUCCGCAUGUGAUCAGGGGAGACAUCUUCCCGAAAUCAAAGGUGGNNCAACUACCGCUUUUUGAGGAGCCCGCGGCCUAUCAGCUUGUUGGUGAGGUAACGGCUCACCAAGGCGUUGACGGGUAGCUGGUCUGAGAGGACGACCAGUCACACUGGAACUGAGACACGGUCCAGACACCUACGGGUGGCAGCAGUCGAGAAUUUUUCUCAAUGGGGGAAACCCUGAAGGAGCGACGCCGCGUGGAGGAUGAAGGUCUUCGGGUUGUAAACUCCUGUCAUUUGGGAACAAGUUGGACGCCGUAACUGCGCGUCCAUUGAUAGUACCAGAAGAGGAAGGGACGGCUAACUCUGUGCCAGCAGCCGCGGUAAUACAGAGGUCUCAAGCGUUGUUCGGAUUCAUUGGGCGUAAAGGGUGUGUAGGUGGCGCGCUAAGUCGGGUGUGAAAUUUCGGAGCUUAACUCCGAAACUGCAUUCGAUCUGGCGUGCUUGAGGACUGGAGAGGAGACUGGAAUUCAUGGUGUAGCAGUGAAAUGCGUAGAGAUCAUGAGGAAGACCAGUGGCGAAGGCGGGUCUCUGGACAGUUCCUGACACUGAGACACGAAGGCCAGGGGAGCAAACGGGAUUAGAUACCCCAGUAGUCC